rnacentral:lncRNA from 1 species
CUUCCAUCCAGCUUUCAGGAUUCCCAAGGGAGAAGCCCUGCAGCUUCCUAAUGUGAAGGACCUUCGAUGUGUGCUUCCUGCUUCCCUCUCCAACCUCAUCUCCACCUGCAAAGCUGGAGUCGUGCUUCUCCCACAGACCUCCACUGCAUCCAGCACUCCUCCAUGAUGACAACCAGCCCUUUAUAUUGUCCCUGCUGACUUACCCACAGCCCCCACCAGAUUCUUUGAAGACAUAAGAAAUGUCUUUUAGUGGUGUAUUCCCAGAGCCAAGCUUGUCACCCAGUUAGAGUAAAUACUCAGAAACCAUCUAAUGGCUGGUAGAAAAGAAUGGGCAUUUUAGGCCGGGGUGAUAAAGGAUGGCUUCAAGGAUCGUCUAGGACCUUUGUGCAUAACGCACUUUACCAUCAUUUACUAAGCUUAAAUGAUACUUGCCUGGACCACUAUGAUAAUGUUUUUCCUUGUUUCCCUGUCCUGAUAUUCCAUUCUCCUGUUAUUGUUUUAAUUCCUUGGGACAGCAGGCUGUAAAGAUGCGGGCUUGGCAUUAUUCUUGCCUCCUGAAGAAAGCUCACACAAGAAUGAAGUCAACACCAGAGUGAAGCGUUGCCGGAACUCAGGGAAACUGGAGCCCUGCCUUUCAGAUGACUAAAACUAGAAGCUUCCUUGAAUUUACAAUUUUGUGGCUCAAUGAUUUUCCAAAAUUUAUACAACACAUCACAGACCUGGAGGUGAUGAGAAGCUGGGGGUGUCAGUGAAGGCUUUCUGGAGGAAGGGGUGGCCAGAUUGAAUGGCAAAG